ACAGAGGGUGCAAGCGUUAAUCGGAAUUACUGGGCGUAAAGCGCACGUAGGUGGUUUGGCAAGUUGGAUGUGAAAGCCCUGGGCUUAACCUGGGAACUGCAUUCAAUACUACCAGGCUAGAGUAGGGUAGAGGGAAGUGGAAUUUCCGGUGUAGCGGUGAAAUGCGUAGAUAUCUGAAGGAACAUCAGUGGCGAAAGCGACUUCCUGGACCAAUACUGACGCUCAUGUGCGAAAGCGUGGGGAGCAAACAGGA
rnacentral:rRNA from 1 species